AACGAACGCUGGCGGCAGGCUUAACACAUGCAAGUCGAACGGGUGUAGCAAUACAUCAGCGGCAGACGGGUGAGUAACACGCGGGAACCUUCCUAGGGGUACGGAACAACUCAGGGAAACUUGAGCUAAUACCGUAUACGUCCGUGAGGAGAAAGAUUUAUCGCCCUUAGACGGGCCCGCGUCGGAUUAGCUAGUUGGUGGGGUAACGGCCUACCAAGGCGACGAUCCGUAGCUGAUCUUAGAGGAUGAUCAGCCACACUGGGACUGAGACACGGCCCAGACUCCUACGGGAGGCAGCAGUGGGGAAUCUUGGACAAUGGGCGCAAGCCUGAUCCAGCCAUGCCGCGUGAGUGAAGAAGGUCUUCGGAUUGUAAAGCUCUUUUGCCAGGGACGAUAAUGACGGUACCUGGAGAAUAAGCCCCGGCAAACUUCGUGCCAGCAGCCGCCGUAA
rnacentral:rRNA from 1 species